AGAGUUUGAUCCUGGCUCAGAUUGAACGCUGGCGGCAUGCCUUACACAUGCAAGUCGAACGGCAGCAUGAUCUAGCUUGCUAGAUUGAUGGCGAGUGGCGAACGGGUGAGUAAUACAUCGGAACGUGCCCUGUAGUGGGGGAUAACUAGUCGAAAGAUUAGCUAAUACCGCAUACGACCUGAGGGUGAAAGUGGGGGACCGCAAGGCCUCAUGCUAUAGGAGCGGCCGAUGUCUGAUUAGCUAGUUGGUGGGGUAAAGGCCCACCAAGGCGACGAUCAGUAGCUGGUCUGAGAGGACGAUCAGCCACACUGGGACUGAGACACGGCCCAGACUCCUACGGGAGGCAGCAGUGGGGAAUUUUGGACAAUGGGCGAAAGCCUGAUCCAGCAAUGCCGCGUGUGUGAAGAAGGCCUUCGGGUUGUAAAGCACUUUUGUCCGGAAAGAAAUGGCUCUGGUUAAUACCUGGGGUCGAUGACGGUACCGGAAGAAUAAGGACCGGCUAACUACGUGCCAGCAGCCGCGGUAAUACGUAGGGUCCAAGCGUUAAUCGGAAUUACUGGGCGUAAAGCGUGCGCAGGCGGUUGUGCAAGACCGAUGUGAAAUCCCCGAGCUUAACUUGGGAAUUGCAUUGGUGACUGCACGGCUAGAGUGUGUCAGAGGGGGGUAGAAUUCCACGUGUAGCAGUGAAAUGCGUAGAGAUGUGGAGGAAUACCGAUGGCGAAGGCAGCCCCCUGGGAUAACACUGACGCUCAUGCACGAAAGCGUGGGGGAGCAAACAGGAUUAGAUACCCUAGUAGUCCACGCCCUAAACGAUGUCAACUAGUUGUUGGGGAUUCAUUUCCUUAGUAACGUAGCUAACGCGUGAAGUUGACCGCCUGGGGAGUACGGUCGCAAGAUUAAACUCAAAGGAAUUGACGGGACCCGCACAGCG
rnacentral:rRNA from 1 species